GCAAUCUCGGUAGUACCUUACUGGGGGAUACUCGAAACAUCCUCUUAAAUUGGUGAUGUUUUGUAGGGUAGGUAUUAGUUAGCCAUAGCUAAUAGACGGGAUACUGUAGAAAGGAAACCCAACA
rnacentral:ncRNA from 1 species